rnacentral:rRNA from 1 species
AUGGGCUGCUAUGACGCCACCAAGGGCAAGCCUGAGGGCGAUCUUAAUCCAGCACAGCUGGAAGCUUUUGAGAAGAUCGAUUUGUAUAUGUCAUUUGACAACAGCAAGGACAUGUGGGCUACGCUCGAGGCCAAGUUUGGUGCCUCGGACGCCGGCGGCGAGUUGUACGUCAUGGAGCAAUUCUAUGACUACAAAAUGACUGAUGAGCGCCCUGUUGUACAGCAGGCUAAUGAGAUACAGUCGCUCGCAAAAGAACUUGAUUACUUCAAGUGUGUGUUGCCGGAGGCAUCAUUGCCAAGCUUCCACCUUCAUGGAACAAUUUUGCUACUUCCCUGA